UGUUAUACUCAGAUUUAGCGUCAUUUCCAAUAAUAACAUACUGGUAGCCAUCAAGAGAAACCAAAUCUCAUUGCAGAGAAUCCACAAACAAAGUUGACUAGAUUAUGGAGGAAAGAAGGGCCGUAGACUACCUUGUCCUUAUCUAGAACUUAUAAAUAACCAGCUUGGGAAGAUUUUAAGUUUUUCUUUAUUGUCUUAAUCGAACUUUUUCAAAAUGCAUAUUUUUUUACCAAAUCUCUAUCUUUGAUAAAAUGUGGAUACACCGCAGUCAUAACUAAAUAUCGAUUCGGGUUUAGUUGGGAUUUGGAAUUGGUGCAACGAGUCUUUAAAAAAAAGCAAUUACUUCGUAAAUGAUGGCCAUUGCAACCUUUGAGUUUUUAGGAGGAACAUGCCUGAGGAUUGAAUUUAUCCUCUCUCGUGAGUUUUCUCAAUUGUAAGAAGUCAUGUAUGCCAUGGCAGGUCAAGGCCAGUUUGAUAUCAAUUAGCCAUUGAAGAUGUGAAGCUCCGGAGCAUUCGAGCAAUCCAGAAGUAGAAGAGUGAGUUAAAUGAAUAAAGCGCAAAAGAUUGAAAAGGGCGACAAUUCUUUAGUAAGC